UUAAGCGACUAAGCGUACACGGUGGAUGCCCUGGCAGUCAGAGGCGAUGAAGGACGUGCUAAUCUGCGAAAAGCGUCGGUAAGGUGAUAUGAACCGUUAUAACCGGCGAUGUCCGAAUGGGGAAACCCAGUGCAAUUCGUUGCACUAUCGUUAACUGAAUACAUAGGUUAACGAGGCGAACCGGGGGAACUGAAACAUCUAAGUACCCCGAGGAAAAGAAAUCAACCGAGAUUCCCCCAGUAGCGGCGAGCGAACGGGGAGCAGCCCAGAGUCUGAAUCAGCUUGUGUGUUAGUGGAACGGUCUGGAAAGUCCGACGGUACAGGGUGAUAGUCCCGUACACCAAAAUGCACAGGUUGUGAACUCGAAGAGUAGGGCGGGACACGUGGUAUCCUGUCUGAAUAUGGGGGGACCAUCCUCCAAGGCUAAAUACUCCUGACUGACCGAUAGUGAACCAGUACCGUGAGGGAAAGGCGAAAAGAACCCCGGCGAGGGGAGUGAAAAAGAACCUGAAACCGUGUACGUACAAGCAGUGGGAGCACCUUCGGGUGUGACUGCGUACCUUUUGUAUAAUGGGUCAGCGACUUAUAUUCUGUAGCAAGGUUAACCGUAUAGGGGAGCCGCAGGGAAACCGAGUCUUAACUGGGCGUUAAGUUGCAGGGUAUAGACCCGAAACCCGGUGAUCUAGCCAUGGGCAGGUUGAAGGUUGGGUAACACUAACUGGAGGACCGAACCGACUAAUGUUGAAAAAUUAGCGGAUGACUUGUGGCUGGGGGUGAAAGGCCAAUCAAACCGGGAGAUAGCUGGUUCUCCCCGAAAGCUAUUUAGGUAGCGCCUCGUGAACUCAUCUUCGGGGGUAGAGCACUGUUUCGGCUAGGGGGUCAUCCCGACUUACCAACCCGAUGCAAACUACGAAUACCGAAGAAUGUUAUCACGGGAGACACACGGCGGGUGCUAACGUCCGUCGUGAAGAGGGAAACAACCCAGACCGCCAGCUAAGGUCCCAAAGUCAUGGUUAAGUGGGAAACGAUGUGGGAAGGCACAGACAGCCAGGAUGUUGGCUUAGAAGCAGCCAUCAUUUAAAGAAAGCGUAAUAGCUCACUGGUCGAGUCGGCCUGCGCGGAAGAUGUAACGGGGCUAAACCAUGCACCGAAGCUGCGGCAGCGACACUAUGUGUUGUUGGGUAGGGGAGCGUUCUGUAAGCCUGCGAAGGUGUGCUGUGAGGCAUGCUGGAGGUAUCAGAAGUGCGAAUGCUGACAUAAGUAACGAUAAAGCGGGUGAAAAGCCCGCUCGCCGGAAGACCAAGGGUUCCUGUCCAACGUUAAUCGGGGCAGGGUGAGUCGACCCCUAAGGCGAGGCCGAAAGGCGUAGUCGAUGGGAAACAGGUUAAUAUUCCUGUACUUGGUGUUACUGCGAAGGGGGGACGGAGAAGGCUAUGUUAGCCGGGCGACGGUUGUCCCGGUUUAAGCAUGUAGGCUGAUUGUCCAGGCAAAUCCGGAUAAUCAAGGCUGAGGUGUGAUGACGAGGCACUACGGUGCUGAAGUAACAAAUGCCCUGCUUCCAGGAAAAGCCUCUAAGCAUCAGGUAACAUCAAAUCGUACCCCAAACCGACACAGGUGGUCAGGUAGAGAAUACCAAGGCGCUUGAGAGAACUCGGGUGAAGGAACUAGGCAAAAUGGUGCCGUAACUUCGGGAGAAGGCACGCUGGUGUGUAGGUGAAGUCCCUGCGGAUGGAGCUGAGACCAGUCGAAGAUACCAGCUGGCUGCAACUGUUUAUUAAAAACACAGCACUGUGCAAACACGAAAGUGGACGUAUACGGUGUGACGCCUGCCCGGUGCCGGAAGGUUAAUUGAUGGGGUUAUCCGUAAGGAGAAGCUCUUGAUCGAAGCCCCGGUAAACGGCGGCCGUAACUAUAACGGUCCUAAGGUAGCGAAAUUCCUUGUCGGGUAAGUUCCGACCUGCACGAAUGGCGUAAUGAUGGCCAGGCUGUCUCCACCCGAGACUCAGUGAAAUUGAACUCGCUGUGAAGAUGCAGUGUACCCGCGGCAAGACGGAAAGACCCCGUGAACCUUUACUAUAGCUUGACACUGAACAUUGAGCCUUGAUGUGUAGGAUAGGUGGGAGGCUUUGAAGCGUGGACGCCAGUCUGCGUGGAGCCAACCUUGAAAUACCACCCUUUAAUGUUUGAUGUUCUAACGUUGGCCCCUGACCGGGGUUGCGGACAGUGUCUGGUGGGUAGUUUGACUGGGGCGGUCUCCUCCCAAAGCGUAACGGAGGAGCACGAAGGUUAGCUAAUCCUGGUCGGACAUCAGGAGGUUAGUGCAAUGGCAUAAGCUAGCUUGACUGCGAGCGUGACGGCGCGAGCAGGUGCGAAAGCAGGUCAUAGUGAUCCGGUGGUUCUGAAUGGAAGGGCCAUCGCUCAACGGAUAAAAGGUACUCCGGGGAUAACAGGCUGAUACCGCCCAAGAGUUCAUAUCGACGGCGGUGUUUGGCACCUCGAUGUCGGCUCAUCACAUCCUGGGGCUGAAGUAGGUCCCAAGGGUAUGGCUGUUCGCCAUUUAAAGUGGUACGCGAGCUGGGUUUAGAACGUCGUGAGACAGUUCGGUCCCUAUCUGCCGUGGGCGCUGGAGAAUUGAGGGGGGCUGCUCCUAGUACGAGAGGACCGGAGUGGACGCAUCACUGGUGUUCGGGUUGUCAUGCCAAUGGCACUGCCCGGUAGCUAAAUGCGGAAGAGAUAAGUGCUGAAAGCAUCUAAGCACGAAACUUGCCCCGAGAUGAGUUCUCCCUGAGACUCUAAGUCUCCUGAAGGAACGUUAAAGACGAUGACGUUGAUAGGCCGGGUGUGUAAGCGCAGCGAUGCGUUG
rnacentral:rRNA from 1 species